AGACCCUCUGCAAAAUAGAAAGAAUUGUUUAUUGUACUUCACUUGGUUGAACUUCAAUACUGGGUUUGGUGGAUAAUAGACCAUACCGUUUAUUCAAUUUUCACCCAAUGGCCUCGUUUUUGUGUCAAAUACCUAGUCAUGUUUUGUGCUUAGUAGGGAUGAAAAUUACUUUGUUAUUGAGCCUAAGAACAGCAAGAAACAAAUUCGUCCAGGAAAACAUGGGAAUAUAAUCUUUAUCUGCCCUUGACAUGCUAAAAUAAGUUAACAUGGAAACGAGGCCAUUGGGUGAAAAGUGAAUAAACGGUUUUGGGCUGGAAGCCACUAAAAACAGAAAGGAAGGGAAGCAAAGCAAAACGCAUGUACAAGUUAUUAAAUAAUAUGGGUCCAAAGUCACUCAUUAAUCUUUUCACAUACAGGGUUUUUUUCAGGAUUUUCUCUUGGGUCCGUUUUUGCAGAGAAGAUUGAGUUUAGCUGAACAGCUGGGGUGACUGC